rnacentral:lncRNA from 1 species
AAUAAUUUCAUGAAUUAUUUUUUCCAGUGUUAAGUACGGAAUACAACUGAAACGCAUAAAAAAGAUGACCUCAUUAGCUGCUGGUUGUUACAUUAUCCUGCUGGCAAUCACAUUGAUAAGCCCAGCUUUGUGUGACUGCACGUGCUCCAUGAAAACGACCGACUUUGAGUAUACAAGAACAUAUAGGAACCGACUUCGCACUAACUUGCUGCAUCCAAGAAUAUGUGUUGCCGCCGUUGAUCCCAUUUUGCAUCACAGUGAACAUCUGUCGGCGUCGGCGGAAGGGCCUUGUUGUUGUAGAGGACUUUGGACUAGUAGGCGUCUGAUGUUGGAUGAUGGCGAAUCGUACAUGCCAACAGCCUACUACUGUCAUCGUAUUCCUUGUCCAAGUCAGAAAUAGUUCGAAAUGAUCAGCGACGAAAUGGAACUUCAAAAAUGAAAAUCACAUGAAACCGUUUUUAAAAAAUGACAAUAUAUUACCCUUUUAAAAUCAAGACAUUUUCAGAAAAUCUAUAAUCACACUUACGUUCAUACUGUACACUUUGCACCUUUUCCUAGUUUGUGAUGAAGCUGUUUUCAUUUUCUAAAGUUAAUUUUAAAAAUAUUUUAAUUUUUAUUUUUAUACAUUGCAAGUAAUUCAUAUACAUAGUACUAAAUCAGUGCAUGCUAAAUGACUUUACAUUUCAGCCAUUAUUAUAUGAGAUUUUACAGAUCCGAUUCCAUUUAUUUCCCUCCUUUGCAAAAUGUCUGUCUUGUAUUCAGUUUUAAUUUUAAUGUAAGUAUAUAAUCUCUUGAUCUAUGUUUUGUCUUGCUAUCUAGUUUAACAUAAAAGGAGGUGAAAACUUUUAAAUCAUUAAAAGAUGAAGAUGCUACUUAAAUAUUUUGUGUCCGUGCUGAAAACCAGCAAAGAGCUCCUUCUCAGGAUUUUUUUGAAAGCAAGUUGAUUUAAAGAAAUAAUCUCUCAUAAUAGAGGAAGUUAUGCUUGUUUACCUACCUUUUUGUUCCCCAAACUAUGAUUAAAUUGCGUAUAGACUUAUACAAUUUGAAAAGAAAUGAUACUGUUGCAAAAAUAAUUAAAAUUAGUUUGCCAUACUUAAGUUUUUGGUUUAAUCUGAACUGAAAGUUUGAACACAUUCCUUUUUAUCAACGCUCAUCCUAACCUUAGUUUUAUCAAGUUAUCAAAAGAUUAUAUUUAUGAAUAUUCCCAUUUUGUUAACAAAAAGCAAGAAAGAAUGUGAGAGUAAUACAUUAAUGAUGCCUGGUUUCCAAAGGAUCCUCUUAUGGGUUUUGUUUAAGGAUUAAUAUACGUUUUAUAUGUUAAUGUUUGCAGAAGCACGAGGAAUCGUUGGCGGCUGAGACAGAAGGUCGCGGUUACCACGUCUGCAGAAACCCAAGUGAUUGUUGUCUUCGGUCUGUCUCGGUCUCCAAAGGACCUCUGCAGACAUUAAUGCACAAAACAAACAUGUGCUGUUGCUAAUUUUGUACAAAAACAGGACACAUAAACUAAAUUUGAUUUAUUUCUGAUUUGUUUAAAAUUUCAAAUAAAGAAAAAGGUCGUGUGCUCAUUUUUGUUAGGCUGAUUUGAAACAUUUGGACACUACACAAGUUUUGAAAAUGAGAGUCUGUGAGAAAAUCUACAAUUUAAAUUAAAUUUAAUGAAACUUCUCACGAUUGUAAACUAACACAUAGUUUGUUAUAUGAUGAUAUAAAACGUAUAAGUCCGUGUGCUUGUUUUCAAGAUAUUUGACCACGAUUUGAACCAUUAUUUGGAAUUAUUUAACGUGUCAUAUUCUAUUUUUAGAAAGACUGUAACGUUGCAUUUUAAGAAAAUUAAUGUCAAUGAAUUUUACUGUAAUUACCAUUCAGUGUUCGAUUAAUUCUGUCAAGUAAUGCCUGGAAAUCAAUGUCUGCUCGAAGAUACCAAACUGGCGUCCCUGCUCAAUUUUGUUGAAAAUAUGUUAUAACAGUAGGCGAAUGAACGAGUGAAGUUAACUUGUUUUGUAAACAUUUACCAUCUAUUUAUGCAACAUUUAUGCA